UUUUAUGGAGAGUUUGAUCCUGGCUCAGGAUGAACGCUGGCGGCGUGCCUAAUACAUGCAAGUCGAGCGAACAGAUAAGGAGC
rnacentral:rRNA from 2 species